AUGCAGUCGAACGGUGAAGAGAGGCUUGGUUCUCUGGAGAGCGGCGGACGGGGGAGUAAUGCCUAGGAAUCUGCCGGCCCGUGGGGGAUAACGUCCGGAAACGGACGCUAAUACCACUGACUUCCUACCGGAGAAAGCAGGGGACCUUCGGGCCUUGCUUUAUCAUAUGAGCCUAGGUCGUAUUAGCUACUUGGUGACGUAGAGGGUCACCAAGGCGACGAUCCGUAAGUGGUCUGAGAGGAUGAUCAGACACACUGGAACUGAGACACGGUCCAGACCCCAACCCUAGGCAGCAGUGGGGAAGAUAGUACAAUGGGCGAGCCCCUGAUCCGAUGCUGCCGCGUGUGUGAGGAGGUCUUCGCAUUGUGUUGCACUUUUCUUUGUGAGGAAAGAACUUACCUAACACGUGAGUGUUUUGACGCUCCCGAAACAAUAAUGCACGGCUACCUCUGUGCCAGCAGCCGCGGUAAUACAGACGGAGUAAGGGUUCUUCGGAAUUACUGAGCGUAAUUCGCGCGUCGGUGGUUAGUUCCGGUGGAUCUGAAUUCCCCCGGCUCUGCCUGCGAGCUGCCUCCAAUACUGGCCAGCUAAAUUAAGGUCUAGGGUGGUGGAAUUACCUGUCUAAUGGCAAGAUGAAUAUAUAUACGAAAGAACAAUAGUUGAGAAAGAGAUCACCUUGACUGAGAUUGAGACUGACGUGCAAAAUCGUGAGAAACACUCAUGGAUCAGAUACCCUGCUAUUCCGACCAUAUACGAUGUCAAUUCCGCGUAUGCAGUCGUUGAGCUUAUACUAGUCAGCAUUCUCACGCAUUGCGAUGACGUCUG
rnacentral:rRNA from 1 species